AGAGUUUGAUCAUGGCUCAGGAUGAACGCUGGCGGCGUGCAUAAUACAUGCAAGUCGAACGGAGAAAGCAGCAAUGUUUUCUCAGUGGCGCACGGGUGAGUAACACGUAGCUGACCUGCCCUUCGGAGGGGGACAACGGCUGGAAACGGCCGCUAAGACCGCGUACGCUCAGAUGGAUUAGAAGCAUCUGAGGAAAAGCGCAAGCUGCCGAAGGAGGGGGCUGCGGCCCAUCAGGUAGUUGGUGCGGUAAAGGCGCACCAAGCCAACGACGGGUAGGGGGCCUGAGAGGGUGACCCCCCACACUGGGACUGAGACACGGCCCAGACUCCUACGGGAGGCAGCAGUAAGGGAUAUUGCGACAAUGGGCGAAAGCCUGACGCAGCAACGCCGCGUGUGGGAUGACGGCCUUCGGGUUGUAAACCACUUUUCUGCGUGAAGAGGAAGGACGGUAGCGCAGGAAUAAGUCUCGGCUAACUACGUGCCAGCAGCCGCGGUAAAACGUAGGAGGCGAGCGUUAUCCGGAUUUACUGGGUGUAAAGCGCGUGCAGGCGGGUUAUCAAGUGGUGCGUGAAAGCGCCCGGCUCAACCGGGCGAGGCCGUGCCAGACUGAAGACCUGGAGUAAGGUAGAGGCGUGUGGAAUUCCGGGUGUAGUGGUGAAAUGCGUAGAGAUCCGGAGGAACACCAGAGGCGAAGGCGACACGCUGGACCUUAACUGACGCUCAGACGCGAAAGCAUGGGGAGCGAACGGGAUUAGAAACCCCGGUAGUCCAUGCCGUAAACGAUGUCGACUAGGUGUCGCGGGGGUAAAACCCGGCGGUGCCGAAGCCAACGCGAUAAGUCGACCACCUGGGGACUACGGCCGCAAGGUUAAAACUCAAAUGAAUUGACGG
rnacentral:rRNA from 1 species